rnacentral:rRNA from 1 species
GUGCCAGCCGCCGCGGUAAUUCCAGUCUCCAAUAGCGUAUAUUAAAGUUGUUGUGGUUAAAAAGCUCGUAGUUGAACCUUGGGCCUGGCUGGCCGGUCCGCCUCACCGCGUGCACUGGUCCGGCCGGGCCUUUCCCUCUGUGGAACCCCAUACCCUUCACUGGGCGUGGCGGGGAAACAGGACAUUUACUUUGAAAAAAUUAGAGUGCUCCAGGCAGGCCUAUGCUCGAAUACAUUAGCAUGGAAUAAUAAAAUAGGACGCGCGGUUCUAUUUUGUUGGUUUAUAGGACCGCCGUAAUGAUUAAUAGGGACAGUCGGGGGCAUCAGUAUUCAACUGUCAGAGGUGAAAUUCUUGGAUCAGUUGAAGACUAACUACUGCGAAAGCAUUUGCCAAGGAUGUUUUCAUUAAUCAGGAACGAAAGUUAGGGGAUCGAAGACGAUCAGAUACCGUCGUAGUCUUAACCAUAAACUAUGCCGACUAGGGAUCGGACGGUGUUAUUCAUGACCCGUUCGGCACCUUACGAGAAAUCAAAGUGCUUGGGCUCCAGGGGGAGUAUGGUCGCAAGGCUGAAACUUAAAGAAAUUGACGGAAGGGCACCACCAGGGGUGGAGCCUGCGGCUUAAUUUGACUCAACACGGGGAAACUCACCAGGUCCAGACACAAUAAGGAUUGACAGAUUGAGAGCUCUUUCUUGAUUUUGUGGGUGGUGGUGCAUGGCCGUUCUUAGUGGUGGGGUGACUUGUCUGCUUAAUUGCGAUAACGAACGAGACCUUAACCUGCUAAAUAGCCCGCAUUGCUCCGGCAGUGCGCUGGCUUCUUAG